rnacentral:rRNA from 1 species
UACGGAGGGUGCAAGCGUUGUUCGGAAUUACUGGGCGUAAAGCGCACGUAGGCGGGCCUGUAUGUCGAUUGUGAAAGCCCUGGGCUUAACCUGGGAAUUGCAGUCGAAACUGCAGGUCUUGAAUGCUCGAGAGGAUGGCGGAAUUCCUGGUGUAGUAGUGAAAUACGUAGAUAUCAGGAAGAACACCCGAGGCGAAGGCGGCUAUCUGGCGAGACAUUGACGCUGAGGUGCGAAAGCGUGGGGAGCAAACAGG